rnacentral:pre_miRNA from 1 species
AUGUGGGGCAAUGNGUCUUUAAGUAGGGGUAAAGCACUCUAUAAAAAUGAGUCUUAGGUAGUUUCCCCUUUAGAUCAAGGGUCUUGU